rnacentral:rRNA from 1 species
UAGGUUAUCUUAAUUCAACAUCGAGGUGAUAAACUUUUUCUUCGAUAUGAACUCUAGGAAAAUAUUAUCCUGUUAUCCCUAAAGUAGCUUUUAUUUAUUAAUCAUUAUUUCUUUUUUAAGAUAAUAAUGGGUCAUUAUACCCUACUUUGUAACUGUUAAAUUGAUUAGUUAAACAGUAAAUUAAUUUUUUUUUAUUAAUUUAGUGUGUCUCUGUUUUUUUUUAGAGAUCAUCGCCCCAAUGAAACUAGCCUUUCUUUAUUAAUUUUUUCUAUAUUUUUUAAUAUAUUUAUAUAAAGAAUUGUAGUUAAGCUUUAUAGGGUCUUUUCGUCUUACAAUAUUACAUAGCAUCUUAACUAUGAUUUAAAUUUUUUUUUUAUUUUAUAAGACAGAGGAAUUUUCGUUUAACCAUUCAUACUAUCCACUAAUUAAGUGGCGAAUUAUUAUGCUACAUUCAUACAGUCAUAGUUACUGCAGCCAUUUAGUUUUUUUUAGUUUUUUAAUUUAUGAAAAAUUUCUUAUAACCAUUGGGC